UCGUAUUUCUCUUCAUUCUUCUUCUUCUCUUUUCUUUUCUUCUCUUUUCUUCUUCUUUCUUUUUCCUGUUCUUCGCCCCGGCAGUUCUGUGAGAGGAUUUUGCAGCAGUGAGAUGGAAAAAUUUAGCAGAGACGUUGAGGAAUAAUGGUUGAUGGUGGCGGUGAUGUUUUUGGACAAGGAAAGUAUAAGAGAUGGGAGAUUUGAGAUAAACAGAUAAGCAAAAUUAGGGUUAUGGAUUCGAUUCUUGAGGUUUUAUGAAAUUGAUGAAAAUACAGAGUUGUGGUUAGAUGUAAAACAAGGGUUUUUGUUUAAUUGAAGUUUUGAAGUUAAUACGGUGGUGAGUUGGAGAAAUUGAAUUAGGGUUUGGUUGUGUUCUUGAUAAAGUAAUGAAGAUGAUUAUGAAACUGAAAUCGAUAGAUGAAGAGUAAAUUUAGGUUUACUUGGUGGUGGUUUUAGUUUAAGCGGCUGAUUCAGAUACUCAGAAGAAAAGGUAAAGUAGGGUUUUCCUGUGAAUGAUUAAGAAGAGGAAUUAGAGUUCGAUUCUCAAAUCGUAGUGAAGAAUUGGGUUUGUGAAAUUAGGAUUGGAAUUGAAUUGGGGAAAUAGUUAUUCAGAGGACACUGAUGCUUGGAUGGAUUUUAAGUUAGUCUGGUUGUGUGUAUAUGGGGUGUAGGUAUUAUGAGUUAAUCUAAGUGGAGGAGAUAUUGUAUAUGAUAUUGUUUUGGAGAAGAACAGAGUCUAGAUGAAUGAGUGAUUACAGGACAUGAGAUUGGAUAACUAGGGAUAAUGAAUUGGAGCUGUUGGAAAUGCUGUGAUGUUGGUGGUGGUGAAUUUGAGAGUCCCAGACAAUAAUGGGAGUUACUGAGAUGGAGAAGAUGUGUUGAAUGGCAUAUAGAAUGUGUUUGAAAUGAAAUUGUUGAUGAAGAUGAAAUGGUUAAGCUUUGGAAUUAAUGAUGUCACAGGCUGUUGGAGAUUGAGUUAGUAAUGGUGCUGGUUUUGUAGUUGUUGAGUGUUGAAGCAUUAAACUGGAAUGCAAGUCUGAAGCUAAGAUUGUUACAGGAAUGAAGGCAGUAUGUGCAAGAUAUGGAUUUGAAUAGUUGCAAUCGAAGGUUGAGUUGGUAUUGCAGCUAUGGGAGUUAUAUGAAUGGAUGUCUGCAAUGGAUAGUUGUUAAGGAUUUGCAGUUGUAGUUAAAUGUUUUGAGUUGCAAGUAAUCUGAAAUUGAUAGUAAUUAUAGAAUUGCAAUUAGUGUUGCUGUGAAAAGCUUAAAGCUGCAGUUGCAUGUAAUUAGAGUUUAUAAUUGUAAUUAAAAUUUGAAGUAUUGGAAUUGAUGCUUUAUUAGAUUGAAGUUGAACUUGA